GUCUGCUCUGAACUUGGAGAAUAUUCCCUUCUUUUCUGCAGCCUUUAUGUAUGACUAGAAGAGGUUUCUGUUCCUCCCUGCCUCCCAUCUUGUCUUCUACACAUAAUCCUCAUCUUGUAAUACCUGAACAGUGGAAGGAAACUGCAGGAUGGGUCUUGAUGCAAGAGGGAAGGCACUGCCUUGCACAGAAAUGUAUGGAUGAACUCCAGAGACAGGAACUGGCAAGAGAAUGGGAAGAAAAACAGCCAGAGGUUGGAAAACUGUCCUUCUUGUAUUGUUACCAUGGAGAGAAAAAAAGCC
rnacentral:lncRNA from 1 species